CCGAGUUCCGAAGGACACGCGGUGGUCUAAAUAUGCCACUUCGUGCCCCGGCCUCCAACCCUUUGUGAACACAACUUGUUGCUUCGGGGGCGACCCUGCCGUUCGCGGCAUUCCCCCCGGAGGUCAUCAAAACACUGCAUUAUUACGUCGGAGUAAAAAGUUAAUUUAAUA
rnacentral:misc_RNA from 1 species